AACCAAAAGAUUAAGUCAUAAGGUUAGGUGAAAAGAUAGUUAGGUAACAUUAAGUUUAAUAAUUUUUUAUAUGAAGGUAAAAUUUGAAUAUAAUGUUGUGAUUUUAUUUAAGCUAAAAAUACUGAAGCUAUGAUAAUUUUGAGGGAAACUGGGAUUAGAUACCCCAUUAUUCAUAAAUUGUAAAUUAAUGUAAAUUUACCAGAGUACUAUGAAUAAAUAAGAUUUAAAACUCAAAGGGCUUGGCGGUGUUUUAGACCAAUUAGGGGAACCUGUCUCAUAAUCGACAAUCCGCGACAUACCUGACCCUUUUUAGUAAUACAGUUUGUAUACCGUCGUCGUCAGGUAACUUUUAAAAACAAAGAAGUUGGCAACAUUAAUAAUUUAAGUUGAGACGUCAGAUCAAGGUGCAGCUUAUAGAAGGGGGAGGAUGGGUUACAAUUAUUAAGUUAUAAUCACGGAAGGUUUAAUGUAAAAAGCCUAAAGGCGGACUUAAAAGUAACAUUAUUAUAUAUAAGUAGUUUGAAUUAGGCUCUGAAACGUGC
rnacentral:rRNA from 1 species